GCCUAGGUGGCGCAAAUGGUUAAGUGCUCAACUACUAGUUGAAAGGCUGGUGGUUCAAAUCCACCCAGAGGUG
rnacentral:tRNA from 1 species